AUUGAACGCUGGCGGCAUGCCUUACACAUGCAAGUCGAACGGCAGCACGGGAGCAAUCCUGGUGGCGAGUGGCGAACGGGAGAGUAAUAUAUCGGAACGUGCCCAGUCGUGGGGGAUAACGUAGCGAAAGCUACGCUAAUACCGCAUACGAUCUAUGGAUGAAAGCGGGGGAUCGCAAGACCUCGCGCGAUUGGAGCGGCCGAUAUCAGAUUAGGUAGUUGGUGAGGUAAAGGCUCACCAAGCCGACGAUCUGUAGCUGGUCUGAGAGGACGACCAGCCACACUGGGACUGAGACACGGCCCAGACUCCCACGGGAGGCAGCAGUGGGGAAUUUUGGACAAUGGGCGCAAGCCUGAUCCAGCAAUGCCGCGUGCAGGAUGAAGGCCUUCGGGUUGUAAACUGCUUUUGUACGGAACGAAACGGUGAGCUCUAAUACAGUUUGCUAAUGACGGUACCGUAGGAAUAAGCACCGGCUAACUACGUGCCAGCCGCCGCGGUAA
rnacentral:rRNA from 1 species